CUACUCCUAUAAUGUCCAUCCAGCACAGGGUUUUGACCACCCUGAGGACAUGGUGCCUUGUCUAAGACCUUUGAAUCCAGAAGGCCUGUAGGACUGG